UCCCUUUUGUUCUUCCAUUUGUCUGCAGAUCAUUCUGCUGUCACAGCUUGGGGGACCUGGAGAAUGAAAACCCUGAGGAUAAAUGCAUAUGUGACUUCUUGAAGAUCUGCUCUUAAAAGUGCCUUUACCACUUUAAGGUAGCACCUGGUAACUCUAACAUGGAAUCUCCCACAAAGAUGCAGGAACUUCCCCAAACCAGUGGGCCAUAGAGGAAAGAAUGGACGUGAUUGUGCAGAAAUACUAUGAAGGAGAUGCGUGGAAAUUUCACAGAAAAACACCUUUGGUCUGCAAAACUAGGAUAGGCUACUCAUUGAAGUUUAGUAUCAUGGAUUCUAUGGAGGGGCACUUGGAGCAUCCAGCCUUGUAUAGUUUCUUGAGUAACACCUGGAGUCAGCUGAGGUCUAGCUUCUAGAGAGAGCAAGAACCCUUUGAGUAACCUACCCUAGUUUUGCAUAGCAGUGGAAAUAGGAUGGUUUCCAUAAAAUGGUGAACAGUAACAGCCAUUGCCCUUAAAAAUAGCAUUUGCCAUGCUGGAAUCUGGGAUAAUGAUUUUCAGCUGAUACUUAUGAUGGAAAAUUAACUGAGAGAUCAGUUAGCAAAAGCAACCUUAUUAAUUAUUUCAUUACUUGCUAUUCAUAUUGUCAUCCUGCCUAGAUACUAAAGUUUCAGGCCUUGUGGUUCUAGGUACCAAAGACUCAAAGUGUUGUCUCUAGGGACUUACAUUCUUACUGCAUGAUGGAGAACACAAGCUGGGUAGAAAAAGCAGGUGGGGAGCACAAGCUUCCAAAGGCAAUACCAAAAGUACUGGAAAGAUGCAGCUGUAGUGAGCAGCCUUUUCCACCCCUUCCCUUAAGCAUUCAGUUCUAAUCUGAGGUAUCUUUAUAAAAGGUUUGUUUUUGAUUCAUAUCAGUAUUUCCUUAGAUUAAAAAUAAAUUUUAUCCUUUCUGAAGUGUAAAUGGAAGAGAGGGGAAACGCACAAUAAAAAGAAAAGUGUAAUUGCAUCAUAGAAAAAGAUCUACUGGGUCAUCCUGUCCACCUCCUUGUUAGUGUAGGAUUUUUUCCUUCCAGAAGAAUCUUUCCAGUACUUUUGUGCUUAAAUUGCCAAAUAAAUAGGCUUCUUUCAUUUUUUUCAUUACUAGUA